AGUAUGCAGUAUUAGACCCGAAACCGAGUGAUCUAGCCAUGAGCAGGUUGAAGUUUUGGUAACACAAAAUGGAGGACCGAACCGACGUACCCGGAAACGUGCGCGGAUGACUUGUGGCUAGCGGUGAAAUUCCAAACGAACUCGGAUAUAGCUGGUUCUCCCCGAAAUAGGUUUAGGCCUAGCCUUGAGGUUAAGUACCGUGGAGGUAGAGCACUGAAUAUAUGAUGGCCCCAUCUAGGGGUACUGAAUGUAAUCAAACUCCGAAUGCCAUGGCUACAUACUCAGGAGUCAGCGUGUGGGUGAUAACGUCCAUACGCGAAAGGAAAAGAGUCCAAGAUCGCCGAUUAAGGUCCCAAAAUUUGUGCUAAGUGGGAAAGGAUGUGGAGUUGUCAAAACAGCUAGGAGGUUGGCUUAGAAGCAGCCAUCCUUUAAAGAGUGCGUAAUAGCUCACUAGUCGAGUGACACUGCGCCGAAGAUGUACCGGGGCUAAGCACAAUACCGAAAUCGCGGAUUCAUACGUAAGUAUGAGUGGUAGGGGAGCGUUCCAAGGGCGUCGAAGGUUGACCGUGAGGACAGCUGGAGCGCUUGGAAGUGAGAAUGCCGGUGUGAGUAGCGCAAGAUGGGUGAGAAUCCCAUCCACCGAUUGACUAAGGGUUCCUGGGGCAGGUUCGUCCUCCCAGGGUUAGUCGGGUCCUAAGACGAGGCCGAAAGGCGUAGCCGAUGGACAACAGGUUGAUAUUCCUGUACUAUCUAUAUGACUGAUGGAGUGACGGAGAAGGCUAGGGAGAGCCAGUUAAUGGAUUCUGGUCUAAGCACAAAGGUUUAUAAUUAGGGAAAUCCGGUUAUAGAUAAGCUGAAGUGUGAUGGUGAAGCUACUAAGUAGCGAAAUCUCUUGACGCCAAGCUUCCAAGAAAAGCUUCUAGGGCUAAUCAUAUAGGUACCCGUACCCAGAACCGACACAGGUGGUCAAGGAGAGUAUCCUAAGGUGAGCGAGAGAACCAUGGUUAAGGAACUCGGCAAAAUAACCCCGUAACUUCGGAAUAAGGGGUGGUCGCUAGACGACCGACACUAAAGACGCCCAGGCAACUGUUUACCAAAAACAUAGGUCUCUGCUAAGUCGAAAGACGAUGUAUAGGGGCUGACACCUGCCCAGUGCUGGAAGGUUAAGAGGAGUGCUUAGAAUAGACGUAAGUCGAUGAUUCGAAGGUACGAAUUGAAGCCCCAGUGAACGGCGGCCGUAACUAUAACGGUCCUAAGGUAGCGAAAUUCCUUGUCAGGUAAGUUCUGACCCGCACGAAAGGUGUAAUGAUCUGGGCACUGUCUCAACCAUGGACUCGGUGAAAUCUUAAUACCUGUGAAAAUGCAGGUUACCCGCAUCAGGACGGAAAGACCCCAUGGAGCUUUACUGUAGCUUGAUAUUGAGAUUCGGUAUGUUAUGUAGAGAAUAGGUGGGAGACUAUGAGACUAGGACGCCAGUUCUAGAGGAGUCACCUUUGGAAUACCACCCUUAAUGUAUUGGAUUUCUAACCUCGACCCAUGAUCUGGGCCAGGGACAGUGUCUGGUGGGCAGUUUGACUGGGGCGGUCGCCUCCCAAAAAGUAACGGAGGCGCCCAAAGGUUCCCUCAGAAUGGAUGGAAAUCAUUCGCAGAGCGUAAAGGUAUAAGGGAGCUUAACUGCAAGACCAACAAGUCGAGCAGAUACGAAAGUAGGGCUUAGUGAUCAGACGGUGCAGAAUGGAAUGGCCGUCGCUUAACGGAUAAAAGUUACCCUGGGGAUAACAGGCUGAUACCACCCAAUAGUUCACAUAGACGGUGGUGUUUGGCACCUCGAUGUCGGCUCGUCACAUCCUGGAGGUGAAGUCGCUUCCAAGGGUUGGGCUGUUCGCCCAUUAAAGUGGCACGCGAGCUGGGUUCAGAACGUCGUGAGACAGUUCGGUCCCUAUCCGAUGUGGGCGUAGGAAAAUUGAAGAGAGCUAUCCUUAGUACGAGAGGACCGGGAUGGACAAACCUCUGGUGUAUCUGUUGUCACGCCAGUGGCAGCGCAGAGUAGCUAUGUUUGGAAAGGAUAACCGCUGAAAGCAUCUAAGCGGGAAGCCAACUUUGAGAUGAGUUUUCCCAUACGAAAGUAGUAAGAUCCCAAAAAGACGAUUUGGUUGAUAGGCUGGAGAUGGAAGAAUGGUGACAUUUUGAGUUGACCAGUACUAAUAGAUCGAGGAUUUAAUCAU
rnacentral:rRNA from 1 species